AGAGUUUGAUCCUGGCUCAGGGUGAACGCUGGCGGCGUGCCUAACACAUGCAAGUCGAGCGGUGCAGCUGGAAGCUUCGGCGGAAGGCUGCAUAGCGGCGGACGGGUGCGUAACACGUAGGAACGUGCCCCUUGGAGGCGGAUAGCCGUGGGAAACUGCGGGUAAACCGCCAUGUACUCGGGAGAGUAAAGGUCGAAAGACGCCAAGGGAGCGGCCUGCGGCCCAUCAGGUAGUUGGUGAGGUAAUGGCUCACCAAGCCGACGACGGGUAGCCGGUCUGAGAGGAUGGCCGGCCACAAGGGCACUGAGACACGGGUCCUACUCCUACGGGAGGCAGCAGUGGGGGAUAUUGGACAAUGGGCGAAAGCCUGAUCCAGCGACGCCGCGUGGAGGACGAAGCCCUUCGGGGUGUAAACUCCUUUUGUCAGGGAAAAAGUGAUGAUGGUACCUGACGAAUAAGCCCCGGCUAACUACGUGCCAGCAGCCGCGGUAAUACGUAGGGGGCGAGCGUUACCCGGAAUCACUGGGCGUAAAGGGUGCGUAGGUGGCCUGAUAAGUCUGGCGUUAAAGCUCACGGCUCAACUGUGGGAAUGCGCUGGAAACUGUCGGGC
rnacentral:rRNA from 1 species